rnacentral:rRNA from 1 species
UACGAAGGGGGCUAGCGUUGCUCGGAAUCACUGGGCGUAAAGGGUGCGUAGGCGGGUCUUUAAGUCAGGGGUGAAAUCCUGGAGCUCAACUCCAGAACUGCCUUUGAUACUGAGGAUCUUGAGUUCGGGAGAGGUGAGUGGAACUGCGAGUGUAGAGGUGAAAUUCGUAGAUAUUCGCAAGAACACCAGUGGCGAAGGCGGCUCACUGGCUCGUAUCUGACGCUCAGGCGCGAUAGCGUGGGGAUCAAACAGG